GCUCUAGCUGAGUUGGGAGAGCAUUGGACUAGCAAACCAAAGGUCGCGGGCUCGAUUCCCUCAGCU